GGCUCUGGCUGCGGCCGCGGCGCCUUUGUCUUUGAGGCGCCUGGGGGCUUCUUCAGCCUUGGCCUGGCCAGGGCCUGGAGGGGCUCCGCGCCCCCGGUUCUUUCCCCGGCGACACCCGGCUCUCUCCUCCCCAGACCUCUAUCCCCACCCACCGCUUUUCGGUUCCCAACCCUGCUCGGAGAAAACUCCCAACACCAUAGCAAAAGAAAUCCACUUCGGAAGCUGAGAUUUCAAACAAAAGCUGCCCGUACCCACAACUCUGAGUCUCCAGCCAGUAACCGAUUUCAACUUUCUCCCUGUAAAUACUUAUUCUCUGGGCUUAACCGUUUUCCUUCUUUUUAUUCUCCCACUCUUAAGCGUGCCCUUUAUUAUGGGAUUUAGUGGGGUUAUUUUCGUCUUUAUUUUCCUGCCCGCCUGGCUCUGGUCUGCCGAGACGCCUCAGCCUCAGCCUUAGCAGCUGGAAAGCUCACAUCCCAGGCAGGGCUCGCAGCUCGCUCAGCUUGGAGAGAAUUUUCUCCCCCUCCCUCCAGCUAAAACCUCGCAGAAAACUCCCCCUGCGGUCGACUGGAAAAUGAGCUCACCCAAAUCUCGGUAGGCAGCCGUGGAGGAGGGCUCGGCCAAUCAGAAGGCGCUCCCGCCCAGGAGGCUGCGCAUUGGCUGCGGGGAAAAUCAAUUAUCAAAUAAUCGAUCAGCAGGGAGCUUCGAUCUGCCGGGAAUGUAAACUGCCAGUACCGAUUCCCGCCCUGACGGUGGCCAAAAGGCUGACUCCCUCAAAGCGACCGGCCUGAGCUCCCAUCCCAUGGUCCCCACCCCCAUCCCACCCUGCCAGCUGUGGAGCAAACCCUCGCCCCAGAGGGGAGAUAGUUGGUGGGAAGAGUUUUGAGAAAGAUUAGGGGGCCCCCUUCACUGGGAGUUUGUUUGGAAAAGGUUGAGAGCUCUCAAAUGUAUUGAAGCCAACUCUUAGGCGCCAAGUAAGAGAAUUUGCAUCCGUCCGCGAAGUAGGACUCAAGUUUCUUCUGAGUGGGCUUCUGAGGAGCAGGGGACCUGGGCGAUCUUCAAAACGUAGAGCUGCAGUAUUGCUCCACCGAGCGCUGGUAGCCUCCCUAGGCGACACCUAUGGCUUCUUCUAGCGCUCCGCAGGAGCUAGCGCCGGGGUGGUUCACCCCAGCCGUGGAGCCUUCGUGGAAAGCUGAGCAGAUGAGCCUUCCCAGCCUACUGCACACGUCCCCGCCCCCAACCUGAACUUGCUCCUUCUGUGCCUGAAGGGUCGGCACACAUUCACCCAAAACCUUCAGAUGAGCUUUGAGUUGAAUGAGCUCAACUGUUACAAAAGAAAAAUCUCCAGAGUCCCUUAGUACUUACCUGUCUCUUCUUUCUUAAUUUCUAGUUUCUGUCUUCAAUACUCAAAUUUUAAGAUAUUUUACUUUUAUCCACCACGUACUUGUAUACUGUUUUCUAACACAGUUACCCUGAUACAUCUCUUGGGAAGUUAAGGCAGGCCUGAGAGUCAAAGCCAAGGGGGGCUUUGGGGAAGCCAGGUGAAUUACCAGAGCCAACGCCUAACUCUGAGCCCGCCCCCCCCCCCUUCCCCUCGCAGUUUGAACUUGAAAGCAGCUUUUCAGGCCAAGAUGGAACCUUCUGAACUCAGGAAAGCGAUUUUUAAUUUUUGCGAAGCCGAGCUGGCUAGGCCAGGCAGCGCACUUCUUUUCCGAUUAUGGGGAGGGCUGCGCUGGGCCGUCAGCAGUGAGCUCUUCCCCAGCUCCUGAGGGCUGUGGCCCACACCUGAGCGCCUUCCGACAGCUACUCCCGGGGGUGGGAGCGCUGUCUCCCCAGCAGGCCUGCCAGGCAUCAGCGCGGCUUGGGCGGGGGGGGCGGGAGGGGGUCCAACCAGACACCAACACAGGCUCCUCUACGUUUAUGGUCCUUAAAUGAACUGCGAGGAAGGUUAUCAGAAGUGAAAGAAGGAAGGUUCAGAUACAUUGAAGAGCCUGGGGUGACAUUGACUCUAAGCUUACAGCAUGGGGAGCUCAGGAUGGUUUCAUUUCACUUCUGCAGAAAAGGUAGUGUUGGUGGUGGCAUCUUUUAAACUUUAGCAUAAGCAACUGAACUGUGAACAGUUAUUAUUUUAUGAGCUUCUCUUUGACCAUUUUUAAUCUUUUUUUUUAAGUCCCUACAACAAAAGCUAACAAGCAGAAAAUUCUUCCAGGAACGGAUCACAAGUGAGCACAGCUCUGUCCUGUAUUCUAAGCUAGUAAUGGAGGUACAGUACGGGAGCUGAAGAGGUCUAGCAGACGUGCUCCAGUCAUCAACUGCAAACAUUUACCUUUGAAGCAACUGGAUGAGCCAGAUUGGUUAUGGUUUGCAUCCAUGUUCGACUUGAUAAAGGGGCAUAAUUUGUGAAAAGCCUUCAGGCAAAAAUCGUACUGAUUAUUCAAAACUAAAUAUUUUAACAUUUCAUUGAGUUAGCUAAUGAAUAAGAAAAACAUCGAAGGCUUCCUGCAGCUCAGAAAGAAUUCUAGUGGCGUGGAAAGCACAAGGAGCAAAGAACAAGAAACUGAAGGACUCCUGCUGAGCAGUUAUUCGCUUGUGAAUAUCUGAAAAUGUAUUCUUCUGUGCGUUAUUUAAAAAUGAAAAAUAAACAUCAUCUUUCCUUGUC